rnacentral:ncRNA from 1 species
AUUUAAUAAAUGUUCGUAUACCGUAUAUGCUCGAUAAUAUGGAUUGAGCGUUUCUACCAGGAGGCCAUAAACUACCUGACUACGAGUAUACGUCUGUUUCUGA